rnacentral:rRNA from 1 species
AGAGCGAACGCUGGCGGCAGGCCUAACACAUGCAAGUCGAGCGCCGUAGCAAUACGGAGUGGCGCACGGGUGAGUAACGCGUGGGAACCUACCCUGGAGUGGGGGAUAACCGAGAGAAAUUUCGGCUAAUACCGCAUACGACCUGAGGGUGAAAGAUUUAUCGCUCUAGGAGGGGCCCGCGUCGGAUUAGCUAGUUGGUGGGGUAACGGCCUACCAAGGCAACGAUCCGUAGCUGGUCUGAGAGGAUGAUCAGCCACACUGGGACUGAGACACGGCCCAGACUCCUACGGAAGGCAGCAGUGGGAAUAUGACAAUGGGGCAACCCUGAUCCAGCAAUGCCGCGUGAGUGAUGAAGGCCUUAGGGUUGUAAAGCUCUUUCGGCGGGGACGAUGAUGACGGUACCCGCAGAAGAAGCCCCGGCUAACUUCGUGCCAGCAGCCGC